rnacentral:rRNA from 1 species
CACGUAGGGUGCAAGCGUUGUUCGGAAUCACUGGGCGUAAAGGGCGCGUAGGCGGCCGAUCAAGUCGGGGGUGAAAGCCUGUGGCUCAACCACAGAAUUGCCUUCGAUACUGUUUGGCUUGAGACCGGAAGAGGUUAGUGGAACUGCGAGUGUAGAGGUGAAAUUCGUAGAUAUUCGCAAGAACACCAGUGGCGAAGGCGGCUGACUGGUCCGGUUCUGACGCUGAGGCGCGAAAGCGUGGGGAGCAAACAGG